rnacentral:rRNA from 1 species
CCUACGAGUGGCAGCAGUGAGGAAUAUUGGUCAAUGGGCGUAAGCCUGAACCAGCCAAGUCGCGUGAGGGAUGAAUGUUCUAUGGAUCGUAAACUUCUUUUAUAUGGGAAUAAAGUGCGGGACGUGUCCUGCUUUGCAUGUACCUUAUGAAUAAGGAUCGGCUAACUCCGUGCCAGCAGCCGCGGUAAUACGGAGGAUCCGAGCGUUAUCCGGAUUUAUUGGGUUUAAAGGGUGCGUAGGCGGGUUUUUAAGUCAGCUGUGAAAGUCUGUGGCUCAACCAUAAAAUUGCAGUUGAGACUGGGAGGCUUGAGUAUGGUUGAGGCAGGCGGAAUGCGUGGUGUAGCGGUGAAAUGCUUAGAUAUCACGAAGAACCCCGAUUGCGAAGGCAGCCUGC